CUGCAAAACAGUGAUUUUCCGUGAUCGCUAUCACAUCAAUCGAUGAUAAAGCCGUUGACAAACUACUUUCUGCAGUUUUUGAAAUUUCAACAUUACCCAAAAGACCUAAAUGACGAGGCUGUUUAGAGUUGAAAUCCUGCACAAUUCGCCCUAUUUUACCCUCGUGCUUCCCAAAGCCUCAAGUUAAAUGAGCCAAACCCACUGACUCCGCGCUCAGGAGCCACUCGGACGCCCUGAGCCCCGCCCUGUGCCCCCUCGGCCGGGCCUGGAGCCCUCGGUCCCUGAGGACAAACCUGCACAUCCUCCUCAGGGGGCGCGCGGGGCGGCCACACCUUCGCUACUCAGAAGUAGCUCGGGUCAUUACGCAGCCAGAUAUGAGAGUCACACACUUAGUUUGUUAAUCCACCAAAGCACCAGCUCAGACAGCCACUUUCCCAGUUAGUUCACCUUAACUGCUCAUCCAGGGUUGGUCAGUUGACUGGAAGCUAGUUCUUGUCAGAACCAUUAUGUGACAGUUGCUUUAGAAUGCCCUUGGUUCUGAGGCAGUUAGAGAACCAAACAGACACUGGUCACUCAGGGUGGUCCAGUAACCGUCAGGAAGGCUCACAAGGAUGCCGAUGACAGUGUGAACUUGCUGGGGAAGGUUGAACACAAGUUUGAACAUCCCUUUUCUUUCUGAGGGGCUUUAAUUCAGGUGACCUCAAUAACAAGUGAAAAUGGUCUGCAUUCUGGAACACUCACAUACGGAAGAAGAAUCCAGAUGAACAGAAAGGACGAUGGCCCAGCAGCAGCUCAGUCUAUGCUUGUUGAUCAAUCACCUCCAUACACUCUAGUUCUGUAUCCACAUCAAGGAGGGCUCCCUGAGUGAUUCCUGAGCAACGCCACCAAUGACUGACAGUUACUCUGUGUCCCCCACACUCCCCAUGAGGGCCUGUUGGAGGAGCUUUCUCAUGAGAGGAUGGAGGAAGAGACCCCAUCUAACACCAAGGGAUCCCACAGUUUGAUCUUACACUGAGCCUGCAGAAUUUAUAUUCAGCUGUGCAGAUGUUUAAAAACUCCCCAGCCCUCCCACGUGACAGCACUAACAAGGGUACCAGGAAGAAACGCCAAGAGAGGAGCCUUGUGCCAACCUCACAAAGGCUUCAGGUUGACCUCAGCAGCUGUGAAGGGCCAAGCUCUGCUGUGAGCUGACUUUCUGAGGGUUCCUGGGAGGCUACUCCUGCCGAGCACUACAUGGGCCCGUGAACAGAGGGCGCGCCAUGGCAGGGCCCAUCCAGCAGUGGAAGGACCCCCUGCCUGCACCAACUUCCCUCACUGAAACCGUGGAACUCAAGAUGGAGGGCAGGGGAGGGGGGCAAAUGCAGAAUGUGGCAUUUAAACCUGAAAUGCGUGUGGAAUCCAGCAUUUGUAGAUUAAUUUGACUAGGUUAUCUUUUCUUUUUCAAGCAUGGAUAAAAACUUGAAAUAAAAAUGAAACAGCGCUCAUUGAAAAUGAAGAAAGUAAUAAAUUUGCAUACUUAGUUUUGUGGCAUUCACAAUCCACACCUAAUGCACCAGUGUUUCUAGUUGUGCUCCUUGCCACCGUGGGGUCCUGUGGGAGGCAGGAUAUGCCAGGCGAGUGGGGUGCUGGAAGACAUUUUUAAAAAUAAUAUUUUAAUUAACAAAAGUUGUGUAAUUUGUAAGAGUGUAAAAUGAACAUUUAACUCUCCUCUACCCUACAGAAACUCUGUGUGUACUGUAAACAUUUACUUGGGUGCUAUUCCAUAAAUUAUCAGCGCACAGUCAGGAAUCUAUGUAUCAUUAAGAAAUAACCCACUUGAGUAUUUGAUGAUAGAAUUGUUCACAUGGCUUUGUUCACUUAGCAAGGCAUCUUGCGCAGCUUCCCAAGUCCAUACAUUUGGGGAUUCUCACUGGGGUGUUUACUUCUGAAUUGAGACAAAACUGGAGAAAAAUCCAAAUGUCCAUCAACUGAUGAAAAAAUAAAAAGAGGUGGCCCAUCCACACAACGGAAUACUCCUCCUCAGUGGACAGGGACAAAUUAUUGAUAAAUGCUGCAACAUGGGUGAAUCUCAACAACAUAUGGCUGGUAAAGUAAACCAGACAAAAAAACUACAAAUGCAUGAUUUAAUUUAUAUUAAAAAUCCUUUAAAGGUAAAUUUACAGAAACAGAAAUGAGUUAAUGGUUGCCUGGAGCUGGAUGUGGAGCAUGAAUUGACUGCAAACAGGUACUCUCAAAACUAGUUGGGCUGAUGGAAAUGUUCUAAUGUUCAAUCAUGAUGAUAUGUAAUUUGUUAAUCUAUGAAAACACACAAAAUAAGUGAGGUUUAUAUCUUAUUAAAAUAUACCUCAGAAGAUACCUAGCAAUGUGUGAAGGGUUGGGAAUUAUGUGAAAUAAAUGUGACAUACUCAUAUGAGUUUAAGAAGGGUGAUGGACAAUAUAGGUUCACUACUUAAUUUCUCCUAUUUAGUACAUGUGAACUUUCCUGUAAUAGUAAUAAUAAAGGCUCUGCUGAGUGUGGUGUAGGAUGAAGAAAAUCCUUGGCUUAAUUUGCUCUAAAGUAAAUGACAAUUUAGUUGGAAGGAUGAGACAUAUGUAAAAAUAACUACAGGAACAGCUAGAGAAGCUGAAUGAAUGGUCUGUGAAAACAGAAAGGAGGGGAAAUGAGAAAAGGCUUCAUGGCGGAGAUAAAGUCUGGGCUGUGUCUUGGGAGAGGAUGGCUUUGAUGUCAGCCUGGGGGGAAGGUCCAUGUGGAAGGACAGAGUGAGGAAAUUUGAGGGCACCUAUGAAGCUGUGAAGUCAGUUUUACCUGGAUGUUGUGAUGCUUAAGAGUAAUAGUAGUGAGGUAAAUGAAUUCACUCAGCAGGGAUUUCUUGAACAUCUAUGAUGCCCAGGUAAUGACUUAGGGGCUAGAGAAAUAGCAGGGCAAAGAAACAACAAAAAUAUCUACCUCUUGUGUCCUGUAUUCUAAUUAGGGAAGACAAUGGUAAACAAAUGAACCAUCGAAUGUCACAAAACUUUAAGAAAAAAAUAAAUAUGGAAAUAAGAUCAGGAGUGGAGGAAUGAGCUUAAGAAAUCGGUUUUAUUUCCUGUGAAGGUGACACUUGCACAAGGCUUGGAAGGAGGUGAGGGCAUGAGCCAUGUUGAGAAUGAACUUCUGGAGGGUGGAGAGGAGGAAGAGAAGAAAGGGGACAAGUCAGGUGACUACGACGCUACUUCAGGCAAUGAUGAUGGAGGUUCAGAACCAGAGUGGUGGCAGUUGAAGCAGUGAGGAGUGUUCAGACACUGGACAGAUUUUAAAGUUAGAACUGACGGGGUUUGCUGACAGUGUGGAUGUGAGAAGUUAUGGAAAUUGGCAUCCAGGCUGACUCUGAGGUUGUUGUCCUGAUGGAAAAGAUAGAGUCACUAUGAACAGAAAUGGAAAGAAUAUAGGUGAGGUAGUAUUGGGCAUGAAGAUGAGAAAUUCUGCCUUGGUCAUGUUAAGAUAGAUGAUCUAUUAGACUACCCUGUGCAGACACUAAGUUAAGAAGAUUGCGAUCUAGGGUGGAGGUUGUGCUGGAGAUAGACACUUCGAAACUGUCAGUGCUUAGACUGCGUUUAAAGCCUUCAGACUGCCUGAUAGCACCACGGAGGUGCAAUGGAGAGGAGAGCCAAAGAUCCAGAGCAGCGCCCUGGGGCCCUCAAAUGUGAGGAGCUUAGAGAGAGAGGAGCCCCUGCAAAGGAGACAGACAGGGAGCAGCUAGUGAGGCAGGGGGACCAGGAGAGGGUGGUGCCCUGGAAGCCAGUGAAGAAGACUGACAAGAAGGAGAGAGUGAUCCACUGAUUGCACAAGAGGGGGGCUGGGACUUGACCACUGGGUUGAGGGACAGGAGGUCAUUGUGAGCUUUCCAAGGGCAGUUUCAGUGUAAUUUGGAAGAUAGAGCUUAAUUGGCCCAGGUUUAGGAGACAGUGAAUGAGCUGACUUAGAGACAAUGCACAUAGAUGGCUCUUUGGGGACUUUCAUUGUAAAUGGGCAAGAAGGAAUUGAGAUGAUGGAUGGAGAGUUUUUAAAGGGGAGUCUAGAGGAGGUUUUAUAAGAGGGAGAAAUAAAAACUUGACUGUGUGCUGAUGGAGCAACUUACUAGAAGGGGAAGAGUGAACAAUGGUUCUGCAUUAGGAAGAGGAGCCCCGUGUGCAGGUGAGGCCAUUGACGGACUGGUGUUCUCGAGUAAGUGGGAUAAAAUUUCACCCAUACUGUCUUAGAGUGAAAAUAUUUUUAGAAUAAAGUUGAUCAAAAGAACAAAAGUGUAUUCUAAAUAUUAGGAAAGUUGAAAACAAAGGAUAACAUUUAUUGGAAAUGCCUCAUUUAAUGGGAUGGAUGGUGAUGGCAUUAACUGUGAACAGAUUAAAAGAAUUAUCAAAGUUUGACUCUCUGGGGUGCCCCAGGAUGUCUGUAAGACUAUCCACACCUGUGUGACCCUUUGAAAGUAGAAUAGAGUGUGGACACCACUUGGACAUAGGAAGAAAAGUUCAUGUGUUUCCAGGGAAAUCAACUACUAGCCUAAAGAGAGGGCCAUAAAAAUUGGCAUCUUACCAAACAAUAGGGUACAUUCUACAAAUAACUGAAUAGAAGUAUUGUGGAAAUUUAAUUAUUAACUGGUUUCAAGAAUAAUGAUUUUAGUUUAUUCCAUGUCCCAAAUUUAAGAUAAAAUCCUAAAACUGAUAAGCCAUAUGCUUUGUUAUUCAUUCAUACAAAUUUUAACUUACUAAGUUAACCAGCAAUGCUACAAACACAUCAGUAAAGAUGCAUUUAGAAGUCAAGCAUGGUUCACAUUUAAUAGUAAACAAUGUCUCAAGCUAAUAUGUGGACAUUAGUUGAUUGUUGAAUGUGAGCUAAAAUUAUUUCCGUAAAACAGCAUUGCCAGGUUAUUUUUUUUAAUUAGUAGACUUUAUCAUUUACAACAGAUUUAGAUUAACAUAAAAAAAGGGCAGAGAAUAGAGUAACUUCUCAUACCCACCCUCCCACCCUAUGCACCCUGCUAUGAACCUCUUAUAUUAGGGUGACAUAUUUGUUACAAUUAAUGAGCCAAUAUUGAUAUGUAAUUAUCAACUAAAAUCCAAGUUUAGAAUAAGGGUUGCUACAGGAUUUGCUAAUGCAUAAUGUCAUAUAGCACCAUGACAGUAUCAUACUGCAUUGUUUCAUUGCUCUAAACAUCCCCUAUUCUUCACCUGUUCUUCUCUCUCGCUUUCUGAACCCCUGGAAACCCCUGAACUCUUUACUCUCUCUAUAGUUUGCCUUUUCCAGAAUGUUAUAUAGUUGUAACAUUGAGUGUGUAGCUUUUGCAGACUGAAUCUUCUUCUCAGCAAUAUGCAUUUAAAGUUCCUUCAUAUUUUCAUAGUUUGAUAACUAAUUCAGUUUUUAUCACUGAGUAGAACGGAUACAAAGAAAGUUUGUAUCAGGAGCUCAGCUGACCUGGGAGAGAGAGGGGAGCUGUCAGGUGUCACAGCAGCCAGUUAAAACAACAGGACGAAAUCAAAGAGUUAAGCCUCUAACCACUUACUGUGACGGUACAAGGAAGAGGCUAAAACUGCAGCAAGUGCCCCUUCCCCCUUCCAUUUUCCCCGUGGAAUGUCGCCCCAUUCAGGGGUCAGGUGGGUCAGUGCAGAUCUGAGCUGUCUCUCUGCAGAGGAGUCCCUAACAAAAGGCCUGGCAGUUUUAUGGACCCUGGGGUCAGGGGAGGGCGAGAGAGAAGGACUGGGAGUGGGCAGGUGCUGGGUACUGACUCAGAGAGCGCGGACAGUGUCUGCAGGCUUCCCUCUCCUCCCCCAUGAGGCGGCCUUGCAGAGGAGCCUGAAGAGAACCACGGCCCAAGGCCUUGAUAAAGAGACCCGGGAGUGAAGGUGCCUGGGCCAGGAACGCAGAUGUGUGAAGAGCAGAACUGGCCAGAGGAGCCUGAGCGCUUGACUGCAGCUCCCUUCAGAGAAUGCAGGGCUCAGGCCAGGCACUCAGGCUGCGGUGUGGGGACAGAACCCCUCAGGGGACCCUACCGGAAAGGCUUUGUAUUUGCCCAUGGGGGAUACUGAGAAAUCACACAUGGGUUUUUAACCAGUAGCCAGACUCCUCAGUUUCUUUCUCAUUCAUCUUUUGAAGGGAUCUUGGUUAUUUCCAGUUUUUGAUGAUUUUGAUAAAGCUGCUGUGAACAUUCAUGGAAAUGUCCCUCUAUUCACUACUUUCACCGCAUCCCAUGAAUUUUGAAAAGUGAUAUUUUUAUUUCAUCUAGUUAAAACUAUUUUGAAAUUUCUAUUUAGACCUCUUCUUUAAUGUCUUCUGUGGAAGCACGUUGUUUAAUCCUCAACUAUUUGGGGACAUUUAACAAACCAUGUCCAUGUACCCAUCCUCUUGUCCAGUGAAGCAGAGCUCCCUAACUGAUUCAAGAGCAGCAUCACAAUGCCUGACAGCCACUCUGCAUCCUCCAGCCUCCCAGGAGGACCCUUUGGAGGAGCUUCCUGGUGGCAGGAGAGAUGGAGAGGCCUUAUCUAAUAUCAAUGUAAUAUCGUGUUCCAUUGCCUGAAAUAGACACUUUGCUUUCUUCGUUUCCCUCUUUAUUGAUUAAGUUCAGAUGUGAAGAGGUAACAGUGUGCAAUAUAGACAUUAACACUGUCUUCUGGGGGGGUGGAAGAGGAGGUCCUUCCCUCUGGCAUCUGAUUCAAGAGGGCGUCUACAAUGGCAGCACCAGCUUGGCAGCUGUACGUGGGCCCUUUCCUCAGAAGCUGGGUUUCCUCCUGAGAUCGAGAAUUCUGUAGUUACUAACCUAAAGGACUAGAGAGCUGUGUGGUCCAGGAGAAGCUCAUGCAUUUACCACAGUGCAUGCUAAGCUUGCUCUGAGGGCCUUGACUUGACUCCUGUUUCUAUGUGCUUUGCAAUAGUCACCAAGAGAACGACAGCAACAAAAUAUAUCAGCAAACGGCCCUCCCCCUGGUCUGCUCCUCACAGCGCUCUCAGGUAGUUGAGGCCAUCUCAAGAGCAAGAGGAAAGGGUGCACAUUCUGAACCACCUCACUUGCUGAGGAAGAUACUUAGAGGAUAAGACAGGAGGGCAUCCUGGCUGCUUCCUGUCUCCAGAUCCAACAUGAUUCCAGGGUCCUGAUGGGAGUGAGAACUGGGGUUUUCAUGGAAAAAACUGAUUUUCCAGAUUAGAAAAAAACAUGGCCAUGUUUGUACAGUACCUGGAAGUAACUGUGCUCCCUUUAGGCAGUGCGGGGCUGUGUGCAUGAGGGUUGGGGGUCUUGUGUUGUUCUAUGUGAAUGUGUGUCUGUGAGUUGUGUUGGGGAUUCUUUGUGUUAACCAGGAGUUAUUUCCCACUUCCACAACACAGAUGUCAUUGUCGAUCUUCUCCAAUAGUUUCCAUCAUGACUGCACACGUUAUAUACAUUAACUCAAUAACUCGCACCCAGCUUCUCCUGGAGUUUUGUUAUUUUUCUUAUCAGAUGGAGAUACCUAAGUGCCUAUAUUAAUGGCCCAAACUCUCAAGUUUCUAAGUGGAAGAGCCAACAUGUGGACCAGGUGUGUGUCCCCAGUUCUAGUGCUCUGAACUGCUGAUCUGCGUGUGUCACUCAGACAUGGGAUCUUUACUCUCUGUGCCAGGGUCGAGAAUGUGGGAGGACAAGCCACACUCCCUGCACUUUACACGGAGCAGGAUGAUCAUGACCUCCAGGGAGCCCAGCGAGAUGGUGCAGGGGAUCCAUCAGGCGCUGGACAGAAACAGCUCUGGGUGGGAGCCGUGCAAGAAGUACAUGAGCCGAGUGUGCACAGCACACCCAUGUGAGAGGACUUCUUGUGGUGGAGGAUGGAGAUGAGCAAGCUGAGGGUGUGUUCAUUCACCAGGGUUCAAAUGAAGAGGCUGACUGCCAGCUCCACGGCCUUCAAAAGCAUUGGGUCCCACAUACCCAUUGAGCUUUAAGGACUGCCAGGAACAGCCUGGGAGACGAGAGGAGAAGCUGCUGCCCUAGCUGCUGGCUGACCCAGCCACCUCCACCUGGUGAAACUUCAGAGACUGGACCGCUUCUCCUGGCACUUCUUCCCUCCCCCACUCUUCUACAUCUUUCCUCCAUAUUUGUGGGGGGAGGGGAGGUGAUUACUGUAAAUUACUGAACUUGGUUCUUCCAAACCUUACAGUAAUAUUGAUGCUCCAGAAAUAUGUAUCACAGAUAUUCUGCUGUUUUGCAUCCUACUUGCACACUCCGGGAUUAUGAAGCUGUGCAUGCUCCAGUUUGAAAAGUGUGUAGUAAUGUAGUACUGGGAGUUAAUCAGUAAUUCUAAAUAGAAAAAUGACUUUGGAAAAUUAUCAGAGUCAACCCAAAUAGCAACAAAUAAUUAAAAGCAGUUCCAAAUGAAUAAAGCUCUGAUAUGUGCUGUGUAGCAGACAUGUAGAAAUUGCUUGACCUUCAUACACUGACUAACAUUACCUCACAUUUCAGGAAGACCAAUGGGACUUUUUUGUUGGCCUGUGUUAACUAGG
ensembl:lncRNA